rnacentral:rRNA from 1 species
GAUGAACGCUGGCGGCGUGCCUAAUACAUGCAAGUCGAGCGAACAGACGAGGAGCUUGCUCCUCUGACGUUAGCGGCGGACGGGUGAGUAACACGUGGAUAACCUACCUAUAAGACUGGGAUAACUUCGGGAAACCGGAGCUAAUACCGGAUAAUAUAUUGAACCGCAUGGUUCAAUAGUGAAAGACGGUUUUGCUGUCACUUAUAGAUGGAUCCGCGCCGCAUUAGCUAGUUGGUAAGGUAACGGCUUACCAAGGCAACGAUGCUUAGCCGACCUGAGAGGGGGAUCGGCCACACUGGAACGAAGACACGGUCCAGACUCCUACGGGAGGCAGCAGUAGGGAAUCUUCCGCAAUGGGCGAAAGCCUGACGGAGCAACGCCGCGUGAGUGAUGAAGGUCUCCGGAUCGUAAAACUCUGUUAUUAGGGAAGAACAAAUGUGUAAGUAACUAUGCACGUCUUGACGGUACCUAAUCAGAAAGCCACGGCUAACACGUG